UACAGAGGAUGCAAGCGUUAUCCGGAAUGAUUGGGCGUAAAGCGUCUGUAGGUGGCUUUUUAAGUCCGCCGUCAAAUCCCAGGGCUCAACUCUGGACAGGCGGUGGAAACUACCAAGCUGGAGUACGGUAGGGGCAGAGGGAAUUUCCGGUGGAGCGGUGAAAUGCGUAGAGAUCCGGAAGAACACCGACGGCGAAGGCAGCGUCCUGGCCGAGCACUGACGCUCAGGCACGAAAGCGCGGGGAGCGAACAGG
rnacentral:rRNA from 1 species